GGACAAUGGUACGGUAAAGUGUUCAUGCAGAUGAUAUCUUAUAGGUAGAGCACAAUUGUGCUAAGAGAUGAUGAAAUUUGAAGAGAAAGACCAAGAAACCGUUAUUAUAUGGACAAUCGGGCGUAGUUGAAUAUAAGAGGAUAUUUUUCUUUCUUUUCAAGUUUAGUUUGUGCUAUUGGUUCUAGAGGGUUAUAUAAGGAACGGAGACAGAGUCAAGGAGACCUAGUUAUUUGAGAGU
rnacentral:misc_RNA from 1 species